AGAACGAACGCUGGCGGCAGGCCUCAAACAUGCAAGUCUAGGGGUGUAGCAAUACACACCGGCGGACGGGUGCGUAACGCGUGGGAACAUACCUUUCGGUACGGAACAACCCAGGGAAACUUGGGCUAAUACCGUAUACGUCCUAACGGAGAAAGAUUUAUCGCCGAAGGAUUGGCCCGCGUUCGAUUAGCUAGUUGGUGGGUAACGGCCACCAAGGCGACGAUCGAUAGCUGUUCUGAGAGGAAGAUCAGCCACACUGGGACUGAGACACGGCCCAGACUCCUACGGGAGGCAGCAGUUGGGAAUCUUGGACAAUGGGGGAAACCCUGAUCCAGCCAUGCCGCGUGAGUGAUGAAGGCCUUCGGGUUGUAAAACUCUUUCGACGGGGACGAUAAUGACGGUACCCGUAGAAGAAGCUCCGGCUAACUUCGCGCCAGCAGCCGC
rnacentral:rRNA from 1 species